AUUGAACGCUGGCGGCAGGCCUAACACAUGCAAGUCGAGCGAGCGGCGGACGGGUGAGUAAUGUAUGGGGACUGCCCGAUAGAGGGGGAUAACUGCUGGAAACGGUGGCUAAUACCGCUUACUAUGGGAUAACCCAUAUGGGUUUAGCUAGUGGGUGGGGUAAAGGCUCACCUAGGCGAUGAUCUCUAGCUGGUCUGAGAGGAUGAUCAGCCAUACUGGGACUGAGACACGGCCCAGACUCCUACGGAGGCAGCAGGGGGGAAUAUUGGACAAUGGGCGAAAGCCUGAUGCAGCCAUGCCGCGUGUAUGAAGAAGGCCUUAGGGUUGUAAAGUACUUUCAGCGGGGUGGCGGUACCCGAAGAAGAAGCACCGGCUAACUCCGUGCCAGCAGCCGCGGUAAUUC
rnacentral:rRNA from 1 species